rnacentral:lncRNA from 1 species
AAACACAGAUGGUAUGCACAUGUAUAUGAAUGCUUUGUUCAAACGUCUUCAUUCAAUUUAUAAGUGAGAGUAAGUGACGUGCAUACACAAAAACAUGAAUUGUUGUCUGCUGUACAUUAGAGGUUUGAGUACUGGAGGAAAUCACUGAAACUGAAUUUGGGGUGCUAACCGUGAAUGGAGGUAAAAUGGGCAGAGUGAUUUGUAGAUGAAGUCUUUAGAGCUUUC